CGUAGGGUGCGAGCGUUGUCCGGAAUUAUUGGGCGUAAAGAGCUUGUAGGCGGUUUGUCGCGUCUGCUGUGAAAGCCCCGGGGCGUUAACCCUCGGGUCGUGCAGUGGGUACGGGCGAGGCUAGAGUGUGGUAGGGGAGGACUGGAAUUCCUGGUGUAGCGGUGGAAUGCGCAGAUAUCAGGAGGGAACACCGAUGGCGAAGGCAGGUCGUCUGGGCCGACUACUGACGCUGAGAAAGCGAAAGACGUGGGGGAGGCGAACAGGAUU
rnacentral:rRNA from 1 species